rnacentral:tRNA from 1 species
AUCUAUAUAGUAUAAAAAGUAUAUCU